rnacentral:rRNA from 1 species
AACGUAGGAGACAAACGUUAUCCGGAGUUACUGGGCGUAAAGGGCGUGUAGGUGGUUUCGUAAGUCUGGCGUGAAAUUUUUCGGCUUAACCGGGAAAGGUCGUCGGAUACUGCGGAACUAGAGGACGGUAGAGGCGUGUGGAAUUCCGGGUGUAGUGGUGAAAUGCGUAGAGAUCCGGAGGAACACCAGUGGCGAAGGCGACACGCUGGGCCGUACCUGACACUGAUGCGCGACAGCAGUGGGGAGCAAACAGG